CACACCUCUCACCCUUCCCUUCCUUCAAACAGCCUCCCUCCCUCCACACGUCCUUCGUCUUCUCCGACAAACUCAAAGAAAUCAAACCACUCCCAGUGUACAUCUGUUGACUCCCUUCAACCAUAUUCCUUCAUUCAUUCCCUUCCCAAAUAUCCUUAUCACCCUCACACUUUUGUAAUGACUGGACAUCAAUUUUGCAAUUUUUGUUUAUGUGAACUUCAUCAAACCCCUUCAAGUUGAUACACACAUCAAAUCAAAUUAAAUAUCGAAUCAAUAAAACCUAAAAGAUCGGACCCUAAACCUGCAAAUCGGAACUAACGAGUCGCAGGAAACCGAUGUCCAUCACCACCAAAUCGAGGAACUUGGUGCAACUUAAAUCUCGGGACCAUCGAUGCCUAUGGUGGUAAUCGUCCAACACCACUUCAUUUUACUCAUUCUUUGAAUCCAUUUCUAAAACUCUAAGAUUGGUUCCUCUCUAAUCGGAUAUAAGAUUUUUGAGGCAAGAUCUUCGAUUUUUGAUGGGUUUCAUGAUUGUCGCUAAAGGAUGAUGACGUUGGGGAGAUGAUGGUCGCCAGAGGUAAAAGAUCAUUGGAGGUGGAUGACAACAGAUGUGAGAGAUACAAAGAGAAAUAGAUCGGUGGUUGGCUCUUUUGGUUUAAAAGUGAACUAAGUGGGCGUGGUAAUGAGGUGAUGCUCGUCGGAUGAAGACGACCGGAGGUAGAGGUCACCGGUGAGUUUUAGAGUAAAGAAAAGAGUUGGGUCUCAUUUUUCUCUCUCAUCGAGUGUGUGUAGGUAUGUGUUUCAAUCAGUAAAAUGGUGGAGGGUGGUGAAAGUGAAGGAGGAGGGUUGGUUAGUGGGCCCUUUUAAAAAAAAUGAAAAUAGUAAUAAAAAUAUCAAAUUGAUUGGAAAAUAGAAAGACAAGGGUAUUAUGGUCAUUUUAGUUUGGGCACGGAUUAAAUUAGCAACAAACACGUCUUUCAGGGACGUAACAUGAAACUUUAAAUGAUAUGAGGGACGGUCCGAGUUAAUUUUUGAAAAUAGGGACUAAACGUGCGUUUCGACAUAUACACGAAGGUGUAAUUUAUCCAUAAGUUAAUAUUUGAAUAAAAAUAGUUUAUUCUAGUUGAAAACAACUAAUAAAUCAGUUUUUCAUAAAUUACUAGCUUAUAAACUACUAAUAAACAAUAAGUUUUUAUUUUAUUUUAUUUAUUUAUUUUUUUUUUUGUGAAAGACGUUAACUCAAAACAUGACCCACUAAACUUGAAUUUUUUGAACACUUUAAUUUCUGUCUUAUAUCAUUUUUAAUUCACUUGUUUUUUUAACAUUUUAAAUGUUUAUUUACUCAAUUUUAAAAUUAACCAUUUUAUAAAACAAAUCAAUUCAAAUGUAACCUCAUUUUCACAUCUUUUCCUCCCUUAAUUUGUUUUUAAGAGAAUAGUCUUUUCUUUUCUUCCUUUCUAUCAAGUCAAUAACUGUAGAACGGUGUUCGUUGCCCGAGAAUACACGAACCUUGUGCGUUGAGAGCCGGAAGUGUGAAGAACAAUUGGCGGGGUUUCUCUUCUGUUGGUUGUUUAGCUGCACUAAGCUGACAACAAUGGCGGAGUUAAUAGUUAUACGUAACCAGCUUUUCGCCAAACCCUUAUCUUUUUCACCAUCAUGUAAACUAAUGCCUAUGAUACUUAAUCGCCAACCCUUCAAAUUCAGUUAUAAUCCUCAAUCUCUUUCUCCAAGUUUCGGCAGAUUCAACCGCCCUCUUCUCAUUCAUCCGAUUCCUCGAUCUCGUCUGUUGUGCAAGAUGCAAGACUCCGAUAUGAUAUCGCAGCUGGAGAUUGGAAAAUAUAGCGACAAGAGGAAGCCAGAGAAGAGAGUGAAUGGGAUAUUCUGGAUUUUACUACUUAAUAUUGGAAUCUAUGUAGCAGAUCACAUAUUUCAGGUUCGUGAGAUUAAAGCUUUGUAUUUAUACCACAAUUUUCCUGUUUGGUACCAGUUUGUGACUUCAACUUUCUGUCAUGCUGAUUGGAAUCAUCUCUCUAGCAACCUUUUCUUCCUAUAUAUAUUUGGAAAGCUUGUUGAAGAAGAAGAAGGAAGUUUUGGAGUGUGGCUUUCUUAUAUCUUAACGGGUGCUGGAGCAAAUCUUGUUUCUUGGCUUAUACUUCCAAGAAAUGCGGUUUCUGUUGGUGCCUCUGGUGCAGUGUUUGGUCUUUUUGCAAUUAGUGUUCUUGUUAAGCUCUCGUUUGACUGGAGGAAGAUUCUUGAAGUACUUAUACUCGGUCAAUUUGUUAUUGAGAGGGUAUGCAUAUCUGGAUAUAGUGAUCAUAUAUGAAUGGGAAAUGUUUAAAAAAUCUUCAAGAAAGUGAAACUACUUUUUGGAAAAGCUCUACAAGCUUAUCAAUAAGCUAUUUCAAAUAGUUUUUUAAAAAGGUGAUGGAAGCAGCUCAAGCUUCAACAAGUUUUGCAAGCAGUAAUAGUGCUAUGCAGAAUGUAAAUCAUAUUGCUCAUCUUUCUGGUGCUCUUGUGGGUGCGACUUUGGUGUGGCUUCUCAGCAGAGUUCCUUCUCAAUCUGUGGACCAUGAUAAUAAAAAAUGAUGCUUUCAUAAUAUAAUUAUUAAUACCCAUUCCAUUUCAACUA